rnacentral:rRNA from 1 species
UGGAGCAACGCCGCGUGCAGGAUGAAGGCCUUCGGGUCGUAAACUGCUUUUAUGGGUGAAGAAUAUGACUGUAACCCAUGAAUAAGCACCGGCUAACUACGUGCCAGCAGCCGCGGUCAUACGUAGGGUGCAAGCAUUAUCCGGAGUGACUGGGCGUAAAGAGUUGCGUAGGUGGUUUUAUAAGCGAAUAGUGAAAUCUGAAGGCUCAACCUUACAGACUGUUAUUCGAACUGUAAAACUCGAGAAUGGUAGAGGUAACUGGAAUUUCUAGUGUAGGAGUGAAAUCCGUAGAUAUUAGAAGGAACACCGAUGGCGUAGGCAGGUUACUGGACCAUUUCUGACACUAAGGCACGAAAGCGUGGGGAGCGAACCGGAUUAGAUACCCGGGUAGUCCACGCCGUAAACGAUGGAUACUAGCUGUUGGAGGUAUCGACCCCUUCAGUAGCGAAGCUAACGCGUUAAGUAUCCCGCCUGUGGAGUACGGUCGCAAGACUAAAACAUAAAGGAAUUGACGGGGACCCGCACAAGCGGUGGAGCGUGUUCUUUAAUUCGAUGCUAAACGAAGAACCUUACCAGGGCUUGACAUCCCUUGAAUUUUGUCGAAAGACGAGAGUGCUUUAUUGAGCAAGGUGACAGGUGAUGCAUGGCCGUCGUCAGCUCGUGUCGUGAGAUGUUUGGUUAAGUCCAUUAACGAGCGCAACCCUUGUGAUUAGUUGUAUUUUUCUAAUCAGACUGCCCCGGUAACGGGGAGGAAGGAGGGGAUGAUGUCAGGUCAGUAUUUCCCUUACGUCCUGGGCUAGAAACGCGCUACAAUGGCUGGUACAAUGCGCAGCGAAGUCGUGAGAUGAAGCAAAUCGCAUCAAAACCAGUCCCAGUUCGGAUUGUAGGCUGAAACUCGCCUGCAUGAAGUCGGAAUCGCUAGUAAUCGCAGAUCAGCAAGCUGCGGUGAAUACGUUCCCGGGUCUUGUACACACC